GACAGAGGGUGCAAACGUUGCUCGGAAUUACUGGGCGUAAAGCGCGUGUAGGCGGCGGCGUUAGUCGGAUGUGAAAUCCCUCAGCUCAACUGAGGAAGUGCAUUCGAUACUGCGUCGCUUGAAUGUCGGAGGGGAUGGCGGAAUUCCCGGUGUAGAGGUGAAAUUCGUAGAUAUCGGGAGGAACACCUGUGGCGAAGGCGGCCAUCUGGACGACGAUUGACGCUGAGACGCGAAAGCGUGGGUAGCAAACAGG
rnacentral:rRNA from 1 species